rnacentral:ncRNA from 1 species
CUUCGUUGAAGAUGCAGAGUACCAACGACUAGACGGUAAGACCCCGUGCACCUUCACUAUAGCUUCAUAGUGAUAACCUUGAUCGAAUGUGUAGGAUAGGUGGGAGGUGGUGACACACAACGACCAAUCCUGAAAGACCACUCUUUCAUCUAAGAAUGCCUAACCACCAUAUCGAGUUUUCAGGGGGGUGGGACAUUACAAGGUGGGUAGUUUAUUUGAGGAGGAUGCCUCCUAAAGAGUAAUGGAGGUGUGCGAAGGUAAGCUCGAGCUCAGAUUUUGCUCGUGAGCGUAAUGGUAUAAACCUGCCUGACUGUGAGACCAAUUGGUUAACUAGAGACGAAAGUCGAUCAUAGUGAUCCGGGAGUUCCGUGUGAAAGGGCUCUCGCUCAACGGAUCAAAGGUACGUUGGGGAUAACAGGUUGAUGACUCUCAAGAGCUCUUAUUGAUGGAGUCAUUUGGUACCUCGAUGUCGACUUAUCACAUCCUGGGGUUGAAGAAGGUCCCAAGGGUUCAGUUGUUCACCUAUGAAAGUGGUACGUGAGUUGGGUUUAGAACGUUGUGAUGUUGAAAUUUAUGUCCUAAAACUCGUAGUUUG